rnacentral:lncRNA from 1 species
UCCAAGAAAUGUUUUGUUUCCAGGGAUGUUAUAUUCCAUAAAACCUGCUGUCCUUUUAAAACUGCUUCCUCUUCUGUUCACCCAUCUGCUUCAUCCUUUCCUUUUGUUCCACCUGUAGAACAUUCUGAUGAUCCAGAUCCUUCUAUUCCCAUCUCCUCUCCUCUUCCCCAUACAUCUGUUCUAGAACUUCAUCAUAUUGCUCCAGAUUCUACUGAUCCUGCUUUCAUUCCCUCUUUCAAUCCUGAUAUCUCCCCUCCUACUUUGGCCUCUUCCCCAUCUGUUUCUGUUCCCAGAAAAUCUCAAAGACAGCAUAAUCCUCCCUCUUACCAUAAGGAUUAUGUCUGUCAACCUCCUGCCUUCUCUAGAUCCUCUUCCCCUUCUUUGGAAUCUGAACCUCUAUAUUACUCUCAAGCUGCAUCUGUUCCAG